UACGAAGGGGGCUAGCGUUGUUCGGAAUUACUGGGCGUAAAGGGCGCGUAGGCGGUCGUUUAAGUCAGGCGUGAAAGCCCCGGGCUCAACCUGGGAACCGCGCUUGAUACUGGACGACUUGAGUUCGGGAGAGGAUGGUGGAAUUCCCAGUGUAGAGGUGAAAUUCGUAGAUAUUGGGAAGAACACCAGUGGCGAAGGCGGCCAUCUGGACCGACACUGACGCUGAGGCGCGAAAGCGUGGGGAGCAAACAGG
rnacentral:rRNA from 1 species